GACGAACGCUGGCGGCGUGCUUAACACAUGCAAGUCGAACGGUGAACUCCUUCGUAGGGGCUCAGUGGCGAACGGGUGAUUAACACGUGGGCAUCCUGCCCCCGGCUCUGGGCUAACUCCAAGAAAUUGGGGCUAAUACCGGAUGUUCCCCGCUUCCCGCAUGGGUGGUGGUGAAAAGGGUUUCCGGCUGGGGAUGGGCCCGCGGCCUCUCAGCUUGUUGGUGGGGUAGUGGCCUACCAGGGCGACGACGGGUAGCCGGCCUGAGAGGGUGACCGGCCACGCUGGGACUGGGACACGGCCCAGACUACAACGGGAGGCAGCAGUGGGGAAGAGUGCGCAAGGGGCGGAAGCCUGACGCAGCGACGCCGCGUGGGGGAUGACAGCCUUCGGGUUGUAAACCUCUUUCAGCAGGGACGAAGCGCAAGUGACGGUACCUGCAGAAGAAGCACCGGCCAACUACGUG
rnacentral:rRNA from 1 species